rnacentral:rRNA from 1 species
CCCUUAGAUGUUCUGGGCCGCACGCGCGCUACAAUGGUCUUCGCAAACGGAUGCAUUCUCGAAGGAGAAUGCCAAUCUUGGAAUCUAUGCCUUGGUCGGGACAGUUGCUUGCAAUUUUUCGACUCGAACCAGGAAUUCCUUGUAAUCGUGAUUCAUCACAUCACGAUGAAUACGUCCCUGCCCUUUGUACACAACGCCCGUCGCGCCUACCGAUCGAAGAGUUAGGUGAAUUGUUUUGAUCGAUAAGAUUUGACUAUGGUCAACUCUCGUUGUGAAAUUCUGUGAAUCUGACUGUUUAGAGGAAGGAAAAGUCGUAACA